rnacentral:rRNA from 1 species
GAUGAACGCUAGCUACAGGCUUAACACAUGCAAGUCGAGGGGUAACGAGAGGGAAGCUUGCUUUCCUUGUCGACGACCGGCGGAUGGGUGGGUAACGCGUAUCCAACCUGCCCUUCAGUAAGGGAUAGCCUUUCGAAAGAAAGAAUAAUACCUUAUGUGAUCGUCUGAUGACAUCAGACGACGAUGAAAGAUUUAUCGCUGAAGGAUGGGGAUGCGUCCCAUUAGGCAGUAGGCGGGGUAACGGCCCACCUAACCUACGAUGGGUAGGGGUUCUGAGAGGAAGGUCCCCCACAUUGGAACUGGGACACGGUCCAAACUCCUACGGGAGGCAGCAGUGAGGAAUAUUGGUCAAUGGCCGUAAGGCUGAACCAGCCAAGUAGCGUGCAGGAUGACGGCCCUAUGGGUUGUAAACUGCUUUUAAACGGGGAUAAAGUGAGUCACGUGUGGUUUAUUGCAGAUACCGUUUGAAUAAGGACCGGCUAAUUCCGUGCCAGCCGCCGCCGUAA